ensembl:lncRNA
AUGCAUGGUGCAGGGACAACUGUGCUUUGGAAUCAGGCUGGUGGAAACAUCUUCCAGAGCAGACAGCUCCUGGGAUGCUGGGGAAGAAAAUAUCAGAAGAUCAUACCAAGAGGUACAUCCAGGGUAUGUAUAGACCCUUUGACGAAUCUAAACUCCAUUGUUUAGAGGCAAAUGAUAAAUGAUUCUAUUACACAUAAUUGUAGGUGACUCAGUGGUCACUUAUAGUUCACUUCCUGUUAGUAUUUCGGUACUAAUAGCUUGAAGAGCCUAGAACAUUACCCCAUUAAAUACUCUUCAUACUCAACGUGUUUUGUCUUUUUCAAGACAAAACACGUGAUCACUAUUGCUUGUCAUAUGUUUCAUCCAAGUUAGAUUGUGUGUGUUUCAGUAUAAUGCAUAUCAAUUUUUAUAGAGCCAGUGAAUUUUAAGGCAUUUAUUCUUUGGAAUACGUUGAACUGGAUGUAUGAUGUACUAAACAGAACACAGAACUUACAAAACAUUCCUUCCUUCCAAAGCAUUUAUGGCAAUCAAAGUCUUCUAUAUCACUGAGAAGAUGUGAAAAUCACAAUGUGGGCAAAUUCAGCCAACCAUAACUCAGCAGCCUCUCACACAGCUGCUGGAGUUAAAAACCCAAAUUCAGUAACUAAGUUCCAGUUACUGAACUUUACAAGCCCAAAGUGUGAUUUAUAAAGCAAUGCAUAAAUUAAAAAGGAGAAUACUUUCUUGCUGGUGGCUGAAAAUUGACAUAUUUAUCCAAAAAAUCCACUAGUCUGAGAAAAUAUGGUACAGACAGGAAUUUUGAAUAUGUGUAUAUAGGAAAGAGACACAAAUGCAUUUAGAAGAUUUUGACCUGUCUCAAACCUAACUUCUGUCUAGGGUUCAUUCAGAAGCAUUCCUGAUAUGGUGUGUCAUGAUUAUUGCUGACGUUUUAAGCUUGGAAGUCAUUGCUUCUACUCACAUGACAAGAAGGAAUCUGCUGAAGAGUGGAGCAAGGUGGUGGAAUACAGGACUGCAUCAUUCAUUCUCCACCCUGUAGGAACACCAAAUUUUAACAACUGUCUGCAAAGAGAAAAUUUGAUUACAAGAAUCAAAACAUCUAACAACCUAAUUUUAAAAUGGGCAAAAGAUCUGAAUAGAUCUUUUAUAUGACCUGAAUAGAUCAAUUUGUUUGUCAAAAGAAAACAUACAAAUUGCAAAUAGGUGCCUGAAAAGGUGCUCAACAUCAUUGACCAUCAGAGAAAUGCAAAUCAAUACUACCAUGAGAUAGCAUCUCACCCCAGUUAAAAUGGCUUUUAUCAAGGUGACUACAGACAACAAAUGCUGGCAAAGUGGGGAGAAAGGAAGCCACGUAUGUUGAUGGUGGGAAUGUAAGUUAGUACAACCACUAUGGAGAAGAGUUUGGAGGUUCCUCUAAAACUUAAAAAUAGAGCUACCAUAUGAUCCAGCAACCUCACUGAUGGGUAUAUACCCCAAAAGAAAGGGAAUCAGUCCAUGAAAGAGCCCUCUGGACUCCCAUGUUUGUUGCAGCACUGUUAAUAAUAGCCAAGAUUUAGAAGCACCCUAAGUGUCCAUCAACAGAUGAAUGGAUAAAGAAAAUGGGCUACUAUACACAAUGGAGUACUAUUCAGCUGUAAAAAAGAAUGAGAUCUUGUAAUUUGCAACAACAUGAUGUAACUGUCGUUGAGUUAAGAGUAAUAAGUCAGGCACAGAAAGACACAUAUCGCAUGUUCUCACUUGUUUGUGGGAUCUAAAUAUCAGAACUAUUGAACACAUGAACAGAGAGAGUAGAAGGAUGGUUACCAGAAGCUGGGAAGAAUAGUGGGUGGUUGUGGGGUGGGGGAUGGUUGGGGAAGGUGGAGAAGGUUAAUGGGUGCAAAAAAAAAGUUAGAAAGAUUAAAUAAGACCCAGUAUUUGAUACCACAACAAGGUGACUACAGUCAAUAAUAAUUUAAUUGUAUAUUUUAAAAUAACUAAAAGAGAAUAACUGGAUUGUUUGUAACACAAAGGAUAAAUACUUGAGAGAUGGAGACCCAAUUUUUCAUGAUAUGUAUUACUCAUUGCAUGCCUGUGUCAAAAAAUCUCAUGUACCCCAGAAAUAUAUACACUGACUGUGUACAUACAAAUAUUAAAAAUAAAUUUAAAAAGAGGGAAUCUUCACAAAUGGAAACUCAUUAGCUCUUCUUAGAUCAGUAAGAGAAGUAAGAUCACAGAACAAACCACUUCCCCACAAAAUUGGAGAGACCUGUCAAUACAGAAAAUCACAGCUUACUAAAGCAGAAAUCUGGGAGCAGAAUCCACUGUGUGAAUUGCUACAAGGGGGUAGAAUCCUGAACUGUAGAUGAGCUGCUGGAGGCUCCGUGAGAAAAGCCUGAGAGAGAAAAUGCCAGGGAGACCCAAUCAUGGGGAAACUCCUGCCCUUGUAUAUGUUUACCUCCAAGAGCUGGGCUAAAUCUUCAUGGGGAAGAUUGGAGGAACACCUUUCUGCUUCUGGCAUGGAAAGAGAAAAAGUAAUCAUUUGAAACACGCCAGAGCACUCUCUGCCAUCAAAAGAAGCUAUUUCACUAUUGCCUAGUGUGCUGGAGUUUAUCAGAGCCUAACUGACAUGGGAGAAGAGAAAUACACAAGUCCAGCCUCCUCUAGCCUUCCUGUUUUCCCUAGAGGACUUAAAUAACUCUAUAGAUCAAUUGGACCUAACUGACAUAUACGAGCACUUCACCCAACGACAGCAGAUACACAUUUUCUCAAGUGCACAUGGAACAUUCUCCAGGAUAGACCAUGUGUUAGGCCACACAACAAGGCUUGAUAAAUCUAAAAUUAUUGAAAUCACACAGUGUCUUUUCUGAUCACAAUGGAAUGGGAAUGAGGCUAUAAAGCUGUAAGAGGAAAAAAAUUGGAAAAUCUACACAUAUGUGGAAAUUGAACAACACAUUUAAUUUAACCAAUGUGUUAAAGAAGAAAUCUCAAGGGAAAUUAGAAAAUACUUUCAAACAAAUGAAAAUGAAAAUACAAUAAACCAAAACUUUUGAAAUGCAGCUAAAAUUGUGUUAUAAGGAGACAUAGCUGUAACUUCAUGCCUUCAAAAAGAACAACUAUAUUAAAUCACCACUUUAACUUCAUACCUUAAAAGAUUAGAAAAAUAAAAGCAAACUAAACCCAAAUCUAGCAGAAGGAAGGAAAUAAUAAUGAUUACAAUGGCAAUUUAAAAAGAGAAUGGGCCAGCUGCAGUGGCUCACACCUGUAAUCCCAGCACUUUGGAAGGCUGAGGCAGGCAGAUCACUUAAACCUAGGAGUUGGAGACCAGCUUGGGCAACCUGGGAAAUCCUGUCUCUACAAAAAUAAAUAAAUUUAAAAAAUAUGAAAAUUAGCUAGGUGUGGUGGUGCAUGCCUGUAAUCCCAGCUACUCAGGAGGCUGAGGUGAAAGAUUACUUGAGCCUGGGAGGUCACGGCUACAAUGAGCCAAGAUUGUGCCACUGCACUCCAGCCUGGGUUACAAAGUGAGACCCUAUCUCAAAAAUAAGUAAAUAAAUGAGAACAGACAAAUAAGAGAAAAAAAUCAAGAGCCUCACAAGUUGAUUUUUAAAGGAUUAACAAAAUUGACAAACCGUUAGAUAUAUUAAGUAAAAUAUGACUCAAAUCACUAAAAUCAGAAAUAAAAGACAGUAACUACUGAUUUUACCGAAAUAAAGUUUUCCGAAGUAACAUAAUAAACAUAUGUAUACCACCAAAUUGGUUAACCUAGAUGAAAUGGACAAAUUCCAAUAAACACACUUGAAUCAUGAAGAAAUAGAAAUCUUAAAUAGACCUGUAACUAGUAUGGAAAUUGAAUCAGUAACCAAAAACCUGCCAACAAAGUAAAGUCCUGGCCCAGACGGCUGCAUUGGUGAGUUCUAGCAAACAUUAAAGAAAAGUUAACACCAUCUCUUUUCAACUCUGCUGAAAAAUUAAAGAGAAGGGAAUAUUUUCCAGUUACUUCUACAAGGCCUGCAUUUCCCUCAAAUUAAAACCUGAGAAAGAUACAAGUGAAGAAAAUUGUAAAUCAGUUUAUCUUAGGAAUACCAAUACAAAACCCUAAAAGUAAAACUCCUUGCAAAGUGAAUUCAGCAGCAUUUUCAAAAUGUUAUACACCAUAAAAUUGUUACAUAAUACAUUACAUUUACAAAAUGUAGGGGAAAAAUUACAUUAUUAUUUUAAUUGAUGUGGACAAAGAAUUUGACAAAAUUCAGUAGCCUUUACUGGUACAGUCAAUAAACAAGAAAUAGAAGCUCACUUCCUCAGUGUGACAAAGAUCAUACAUGAAAACUUACAACUAAUAGCACACUCUGUGGUAAAAGACUGAAAACUUUUUCUCUUAGAUUAGAAACAAGACAAGUACACCUGCUUUCACUACUUCCAUUCAACAUUGUAUUGGGAGUUCAAGUCUUACAAAUCAGGAAAGAUAAAGAAAUAAAAACCAUCCAUAUUGAAAAAGAAGAUGUAAAAUUAUGUGUUACAGAUGACAUAAUCUUAUAUGCAGAAAAUCCUAAAAAUUAAGCAAAAAUGAGUUAAAACUAAUAAAUUUGGCAAAG